rnacentral:rRNA from 1 species
GGCUUAGAGUUUGAUCAUGGCUCAGGAUGAACGCUGGCGGCGUGCUUAACACAUGCAAGUCGAACGGACAAAGAAGGCUUCGGUUUUCUUUGUUAGUGGCGGACGGGUGAGUAACGCGUGGGCAACCUACCUUAUACAGGGGGAUAGCAGUUAGAAAUGACUGAUAAUACCGCAUAAGCGCCCGAGGUCGCAUGACCUUGAGUGAAAAACUCCGGUGGUAUAAGAUGGGCCCGCGUCUGAUUAGCUAGUUGGUAAGGUAACGGCUUACCAAGGCGACGAUCAGUAGCCGACCUGAGAGGGUGAUCGGCCACAUUGGGACUGAGACACGGCCCAAACUCCUACGGGAGGCAGCAGUGGGGAAUAUUGCACAAUGGGGGAAACCCUGAUGCAGCGACGCCGCGUGACUGAAGAAGUAUUUCGGUAUGUAAAGGUCUAUCAGCAAGGAAGAAGAGAGACGGUACUUGACUAAGAAGCCCCGGCUAACUACGUGCCAGCAGCCGCGGUAGUACGUAGGGGGCAAGCGUUAUCCGGAUUUACUGGGUGUAAAGGGAGCGUAGGUGGUAAGGCAAGCCAGAAGUGAAAGCCCGGGGCUCAACCCCGAGGAUUGCUUUUGGAACUGUCGAACUAGAGUGCAGGAGGGGCAAGCG